CUACGGGGCGCUCCAGUGGGGAAUAUUGCACAAUGGGCGCAAGCCUGAUGCAGCCAUGCCGCGUGUAUGAAGAAGGCCUUCGGGUUGUAAAGUACUUUCAGCGGGGAGGAAGGGAGUAAAGUUAAUACCUUUGCUCAUUGACGUUACCCGCAGAAGAAGCACCGGCUAACUCCGUGCCAGCAGCCGCGGUAAUACGGAGGGUGCAAGCGUUAAUCGGAAUUACUGGGCGUAAAGCGCACGCAGGCGGUUUGUUAAGUCAGAUGUGAAAUCCCCGGGCUCAACCUGGGAACUGCGUCUGAUACUGGCAAGCUUGAGACUCGUAGAGGGGGGUAGAAUUCCAGGUGUAGCGGUGAAAUGCGUAGAGAUCUGGAGGAAUACCGGUGGCGAAGGCGGCCCCCUGGACGAAGACUGACGCUCAGGUGCGAAAGCGUAGGGAGCAAACAGGAUUAGAUACCCCUGUAGUC
rnacentral:rRNA from 1 species